UACGGGGGGAGCAAGCGUUGUUCGGAUUUACUGGGCGUAAAGGGCGCGUAGGCGGUCAGCACAAGUCAGUUGUGAAAUCUCCGGGCUUAACUCGGAAAGGUCAACUGAUACUGUGCGACUAGAGUGCGGAAGGGGCAACUGGAAUUCUUGGUGUAGCGGUGAAAUGCGUAGAUAUCGAGAGGAACACCUGCGGCGAAGGCGGGUAGCUGGGCCGACACUGACGCUGAGGCGCGAAAGCCAGGGGAGCGAACGGG
rnacentral:rRNA from 1 species